CCCCUAUGAUGAACACUCUUAGCGGAGGGGUUGCACUGGCUGCAGAACCUGAAAAGGUGAACCCACUGCAACUGGCAACCCUACAAGAGGAUACUUGUUCUUUGAACAGUCUGAGGGGG